rfam:Picea glauca, whole genome shotgun sequence.
UACAUGGUUGAUCUUGCCAGUAGUCAUAUGCUUCUCUCAAAGAUUAAGCCAUGCAUGUCUAAGUAUGAACUAAUUCAGACAGUGAAAUUACGUAUGGCUCAUUAAAUAAGUUAUAGUUUCUUUGAUGGUACCCUACUACUCAAAUAACCGUAGUAAUUAUAGAUCUAAUACGUGCACCAAGUCCCAACUCUUUGGAAGGGAUGCAUUUAUUAGAUAAUAGGCCAACGCGGGUUUGCUUGCUUCUCCGGUGAAUCAUGAUAACUCGACGGAUCGCACAACCCUUGUGUUGGCGAUGCUUCAUUCAAAUUUUUUCCCUAUCAAAUUUCGAUGGUAGGAUAAAGGCCUACCAUGGUGGUGACGGGUGACAGAUAAUUAGGGUUUGAUUCCGGAGAGGGAGCCUGAGAAACGACUACCACAUACAAGGAAGGCAAUAGGUGCACAAAUUACCCAAUCCUGACAUGGGGAGGUAGUGACAAUAAAUAACAAUAUUGCGCUCAUCGAGUCUGGUAAUUGGAAUGAGUACAAUCAAAAUUACUUAACGAGGAUCCAUUGAAGGGCAAGUCUGGUGGCAGUAGUCGCGGUAAUUCCAGCUGCAAUAGCGUAUAUUUAAGUUGUUGCAGUUAAAAAGAUCGUAGUUGGAUCUUGGGUCAUAAAGGUCGGUCCGCCUACUUGGUGUGCACCUGCCCUUCCGUCCCUUUUGCCGGCGACGUGCUCCUGGCCUUAAUUGGCUAGGUAGAUGGGAUCCACGAUGCUCAUCUAGGAUCGAUAAGAACCAAUUUUGGAUCCCGAGGGGCACCCAACCUUUGCUAGGUUGGAGGAUUUCGUCGUUUCCCUUUUCUUCUCUCUAAUUCGGUUGUUUCGAGGCUUCAUGAGGGCAUAUCCUUUCUAUCCUUGUCUUGUUUCUGCACGUCCUCCUAUUGCUCGAUCCCUUGAGGGCAAGGUAUAAAAUCUAACACGGUUUUUUUUUUGUUGAAAUCUCCCCGACUCGAUGGGUGUUCAGAGUGUGCUCUGUAUGGAGAGUCUUUGGAUGCCUUUUGAAGUGCUAUGGUGUUACCUGGUUUAUCCUGCUAGUAGUCAUAUGCUUGUCUCAAAGAUUAAGCCAUGCAUGUCUAAGUAUGAACUAAUUCAGACUGUGAAACUGCGGAUGGCUCAUUAAAUAAGUUAUAGUUUCUUUGAUGGUACCCUACUACUCGGAUAACCGUAGUAAUUCCAAAGCUAAUACGUGCACCAAGUCCCAACUCUUUGGAAGGAAUGCAUUUAUUAGAUAAUAGGCCAGUGCGAGCUUGCCCACUUCUCCGGUGAAUCUUGAUAACUCGACGGAUCGCACAGCCCUUGUGCUGGCGAUGCUUCAUUCAAAUUUCUGCCCUAUCAACUUUCGAUGGUAGGAUAGAGGCUUACCAUGGUGGUGACGGGU